UCUGGUGAGUUUUUGACAAAUGUAGAAGAGAAUAAGGAUUCUCUCUCAUUGGAAUCGACUUUGUUAGAUAUAGUUCGAUCUAUGAUGGGGUUUGCAAGUCUGUCAGUCUCCUUUUAAGGUUAUACUCUUAAGACUAUUUAUCAUGUUCUGAAUUAGAUUUCAAACUAAUCAGUCGCAAAGACUUCAUAUGAGAUAUGGACUAGACGUAAGCCGAUAUUCUCUUACCUUAAGAUUUGAGAGUAUUUAUUUUAUGUCAAGCAUUUGUAGAUAGAUUAGCUUGGAUCAUGGUCUUAUAUAUAUUAUUUUGUAGGAUAACUCUAAAGAAUCUAGGGGAUAUAACUUCUACCAUGCUAAAGAAUAAGAGUUGUUCGGCAUUCCUUUUAGAAAGGAAGUACCUUGGUGAAGAUAUUGAUGCCUUUAAUGUGGAACUUAUGAAGUUUGACAGGUAGAAGAACCGACACAAUCUAGUGAAUCCAUAGAACUGGAUUUGAUUAGACCAAACCUGAAAUUCAUUGUAAAGGCACCAUUAAGGAGAUCCGAUAGAGUACCGCAUCCAUCAGAUAGAUACUUC
rnacentral:lncRNA from 1 species